rnacentral:lncRNA from 10 species
CAUAACACACAGACCAAAGAAUCUCAACAAAUUACAGGCACAAGAAAUAUGAAAAAAAAAUUCACCAAGUCAUAUUUUAAUCAAGUUACUCAGAACCAAUUUAAAAAAUUAUAAAAGUAAUCAGAAAUAAAUAUUUAUGUACAGACGAAGAAUGAUAUGAGUGAGAACACAUUUAUUGUCAGAGACAAUAUGUAUUCAUCUGUUCUCACACUGCUAUGAAGAAAUAUCUGAGACUGGGUAAUUUAUAAAGAAAAGAGGCUUAAUUGAUUCACAGUUCCACAUAGCUGAGGAGACCUCAGGAAACUUACAAUCAUGGCAAAAGGCAAAGGAGAAGCAGGCACCUUUGUCAGAUCCGGGGGUCUGGGUCUAGCCCAUGCUGAAGUAUGAGGGAAGUGGGUGGAUGGGCAGAAAGAACACUCAGGGGGCCUUAGGCAGGUGAAUAUGGUUUUAUUCAGCAGCAGCUCUCAUUAACAACUUUCUCACACUAGCUCUUUAUGCUGUCUUCCCUGUCUCAGCUGCUUGAGCUAGUGGCUCCCACAUACAGCUGUACAGCCGGCUCUGCCCUGCCUUUCGGGUCAGCAGCUUAACUCUUUCUGUCUCUGGGCACAAGCCAGUCGAGCUAUGUCCUAGCUCCCUCCUGUUCAUCUGCAAGAUGGAUAGCUCUGACUCUCUCUUUCUCUGGGCACAAGUGCACCUGCUAUGUUGAGCCAAGCCAAGCCCACGAGCCGCUGUAUAGCAUUAGCAGGGCAAUUAUACCUUUCACAGGCAAUAGUGGCUCAGAGCAAAGUAUGAACUUAUACAAACAGGUUAUAUAACAAGUGGAGGUUUGCACCUGUGCACCAAACUUGCUGAUUCCUGCAGGCCUGGAUAUCCGCCUUGGUCUAUUCUUCGACCAAAGCACAUCCGUGUACCUUACAUUCCAUCCCCUAGGCCGAGGGAGACAUAGGCCUUGGACACACAGGUUUGAUACACAGGUUUGGCACACAGGCCUGAUAUAUAAACUUUGGGCAUGCAAACCCAAUACAUACACAUAGGCUUGACACAUAAGCCUGACCCAUAAGCAUUGGGCACGCAGGCCCAAUGUAUAUAUACAGAUUUGACACAUACAUAAGCUGUGAUAAACUGCCCAGCUAUUGGCACAGAUUACCAUCAGUGUUACCUUCUUGGUGAUUACCAUUUACAUUGCUGUGAGUUUAGCUCAUUAGCUACUUUGCGUACACUGGUUUUAAACCAUAUGGUGUCAGUACUAGGCUGGACUGCAACAACAGUCGAGGCAGCAGUAGCACCUUGGCUAGACCCAUCUGUAUACCAUGCCCUAUUAGGAAUGGGGGGACGCUCUUCCUAAUGGUGAAAGCAUAGGGUCUAGGGAUGCCUUAGGCCCCACAGUCUUAUUUUGCAUUAGGACUACAGGUCCCAAGACUUUUUGCAACUUUGCUGCUAAGGGACUUGGCAUACUUUGCUGCUCCAAGUAGGCACCCCACUUUGCUAAAGUGGAUGUCUGUGCCUUCCCUGUCUGGGGGGUUGUUCCCCAUGAACACACCCCUCCCGCUACUAGGUAAGUGGCCCAUACGAUGACUGUAACCCAUCCUGACACACUUUUGUGAGCCUAAAGGGCAGCAUAUGCAGUUACUGUUUUCCCAGUUGAGGGGGUGGUUACCCAUGAACACACCCAUCCUGCUGUUACUAACUGCUUCUCUACCAAGAAAUACUGGAGCUCAGCUCCCUUCCAUAGUUGGGACCAAAAGCCUAUUGGCAUGCUCAGGCACUCCAUGUGCUGCUAUAAGCCCUAACUGAAACUCAUCUGUGGUGACAUGCACAUCUAGCUUAAAUGGGCACCUCUAGUCGACUACCCAUUGGGCUUGUGCCUGCUAAAUAACCUAUGUGCCAGAAAGACUCUCUCAGCCACAUCAUCCAAUCCCAAGCAAGAGUGGUGUUGCCACUUCUAAAUCUGCAAGAGAAUCAGAGGUGAGCAUAACAUCAUUAAUAAGACCGUGAUAUAUGGUGGGGCUAUGCAUAUAGCCCUGCAGCAACACUGUGAAUGUCCAUCAUCGCCCUCCUAUGAAGACAAACUGUUCCUGGCUCUCUGGAGCAAUGUUUAUUGAGAGGAAUGCAUUGGUCAAGUCCACCACACAGUGGUACUGUCCCAGUUCUGUUGUCAAGCGAUUCAUCAAAUCUGUGAUGGAGGGUACAGUUGCAUGCAGUGAGGGUGUUAUUCAGUUUCCAAUAAUCCGCUGUCAUCCGCCAAGACCCAUCAGGCUUUCUGACCGGCCAUACCGAGGAAUUGUAGGGGCUAUGGGUGCCACGCACUAUUUGCACCUCUUCUAACUUCUGAAUAGUCUCAGUUAUAUCGGUAUGCCUCCCUGGCAAAAGGUAUUGACGAGUGGAGGUAACCCAUCGGGGUUGUGGCAGAACUUGGGGCUAAUGAUGUGUAUGUCCCCGCAGUACCAGCUUUGCUACAUGAACUGGGAGUCUGAAUUCUCCGGCCAUGGUGUAUAAGUCCAGACCAUGCAAAAUGUUCACCCCCAGAAUAUAUUCAGGUAUGGGAGAGACAUACACAGUGUACAGGUGGGGGGCCAAGCAGCCAAUGCCAAGAUGCAGGAACGCAGGUUUCACCUUCACCGACUGGCCACCAUAACCGUGAGUGAAAGCAGCUUUGCCCGGAAACUUAUCCGGGUUCCCAUAAAGAAGACAGCAGUGUGCACCAGUAUCUACCAGUGCUAGGACCCACUGUACAUUAGUUGGGGACGAGUGGAUUACCAGCUCCACAUAUAGACUAGGGUCAUCAGGCGCCCGCUCGGGCCGGGCACCUGGGCCAGUUCCCUAAUCAAACAGGAAAGGCCCUGUAUCUCCACCUGUCUGCAAAUAGUCCUUGAGUUGCAGUGUCCAGGCGGGAGUAGGUUGAACAACAUUGUUUUGUCUCUUCUUGGGCAUUCUCUGAAAUUGUUGCUCCGGGGACAAUUGCCUCCACAGAGCCAACAGCAUUCCAUUGGGUCGCCUGUCAGUUUUCUCCCAAGCAACCCCAGCUGCAAUUAAAUCCACAUCUGCAUGAAAGCCACCCACUGGGGCCCCUUUUUAUCUCGUGGGGUGGCUACCGGUGGGGGCGGGGCACCUUCCCCUUCUUUAUGGCGCGGACUUUCCGGUUCCACCGACCGCCUUCUGCUCCCCAAGGGCUGCCACAGCAGUAGUCAUUUCAUGUAUGCAGCGCCCCACAUAUGGAGUGAGAACAGCAGCUACAGAGCCAAAAGCACUGGGGGGCGCUGAGCCCAGCACAAGAACCCUCACCUGAGAGGCGCAGCUGUAGCCGCUGAUGAAGGGAGGAGUGAGUUGUGAUAGAAGCCAGAUUCUCCUUCCUGGAGGAGGCGCAAGAAAUGCCAUCAGCUCCUUCGGACACUGCCGGCACUGUUUACCUAACUCCCACAACUCAGCAGGGGUAUAAGCACAAUAAAAGGGUGAGCCCACAGUGGUGGAGGAGCCUUCUCCCUGUCAGCAUCAGACGGAACGGGAGUCUCCGGCCAGGAGGACAGGCUCAAGGUCGAGCUGACAGCUGUUUCCAACUCCUGCUUCAGGCUGUUUGUCUGAGCCUCCAAGUGCCCUGUUUGCACCUGAAGGUCCCCCACCCCCAGGUCUUGCUCCAAGCUGUGCACUUGGGGCCCCAGGCGUGGGCUUGUGCCGGAAGGUCCCUUAUCUGUGGGACUGGGCAUGUACUUCCCUCAGUGCAGUCAGAAACGCCCAUCUGACUCUGCCAUCGAAGGUGCGUUCCUUCUUGGUGCUGUGUGCUUCCAGCUGCUUUAGUGCUUUCUCCACACUCGGGGAAGACCUAUCCACUGCCUUCCUCAUUUCUACUGGGGCUCAUCCAAGCAGCACCUCCGCCACCGGGUACCACAGCCCCCGCUAGUGCCUCAUAGCCGACCCAGGAGUCCUCAGGGACUAAACACCCACUCACCUCAUCCUGCUGAAGACUCUAAAUGUCAGGUCCACGACUACGCCAAAUGUCACGCGGGGGACUGUAGGCAGGUGAAUAUGGUUUUAUUCAGCAAUAGCUCUCAUUAACAGGUUUCUCACACUAGCUCUUUACACUAUCCAGCCUGCCUCGGAUGCUUGAGCUCGUGGCUCCCACAUACAGCUGUGCUUCUGGCUGUCCCCUGCCUUUAGGGUCAGCAGCUUAACUCUUUCUGUCUCUGGGCACUAGUGGGCCAAGCUGUGUCCUGGCUCCCUCCUGUCCAUCUCAAGACAGACAGCUCUGACUCUCUCUUUGUCUGGGUGCAAGUGUGCCUAUCAUGUCAAGCCAUGUUGCACUGAGCCAAACCCCAAGAGCCCCUGUAGAGCGUUAACAGGGCAAUUAUACCUUUUACAGACAAUAGUGGCUCAGAGCCAAGUAUGAACUUACACAAACAGGUUAUAUAACAAGUGGAGGUGUGCGCUUGAGCACCAAACUCACCGAGUCAUGCAGGCUUGGAUAUUCACCUCGGCCUAUUCGUUGACCAAAGCACAUUCAUGUACCUACAACCUUCUUCACAGGGCAGCAGGACAGAGUGAGUGCAAGCAGUUGAAAUGUCAGAUGCUUGUAAAACCAUCAGAUCUCGUGAAACUCACUAUCACGAGAACAGCAUGGGAGAAACUGCCCCCAUGAUCCAAUUACUUCCACCUGGUCCCACCCUUAACACAUGGGGAUUAUGGGGAUUACAAUGCAAGAUGAGAUUCUGGGUGGGGAUACAACCAAACCAUAUCACAUAUUCAAAAACUGAAUUAAUAACCAGCAGAUUUACCUCACAAGAUAAUAGUAGUUAAAGUUUUUUUAGGAAGAAGGAAAAUACCAGAUGGAAAUAUUGACCUAUCCAAAGGAAUGAAGAGCACCAGAAAUGGUAACUACAUAGAUAAACAUAUAAGGCUUUUUUCUUAUUAUUCAAACACUAAGGAUAUUGGAAUUCUGAAAUGAAAUAUGUUCAAGCUAUGCACCUGCCACCUAAUUUUGCCCCAACCCAUGGAAUCUGAAGGCUACAACCUUCCCAAGAGUUUGAGGAAUACAUUGAGAGGAAUUUCAGCAUUCUUUAAGUCCCCUGUACUAGAUUUCCUUUACAGGCCAGAAAUUACAGUGGGAAAUUCUGUCAUCAAAAGGCCUCUUUGGCUGUGUGAGGUGGUUCACACCUGUAAUCUCAGCACUUUGGGAGGCCGAGGUGGGCUGAUUGCUUGAGCCCAGGAGUUCCAGACUGGCCUGGGCAACAUGCCAAAACCUGUCUCUAAAAAAAAAAAAAAAAAAAAAGCCAGUCAUAGUGGCACUCACCUGUGGUCCCAGCUACUCAGGGGUCUAAAGCAGGAGAAUCACCUGAGCCCAGGAGGUCUAGGCUACAGUGAGCCAUGAUCAUGCCUCUGCACUCCAGCCUGAGUGAAAGCACAAGACCCUGUCUCAAAAAAAAAAAAAAAAAAAAGAAGGGGAGGGGAGGGGAGGGGAGGGGAGAGGAGGGGAAGGAAAGGGAAGGGAAGGGAAGGGAGGGAAAAGACCUCUUUGAAUCCAGUGGAGAAAUUUGAUCCUGAAGGGGUAAAGGCCAAGUGGUAGCACUUACUCAACAGACCAGAUGGAGGAGGUUAUUGUAAUUAACACCCAGGCAAAAAAGCAGUACUCAGAGUGGCUGAUCCACAAAUAUACUUGGCAUUGGCUAACUGAGUAAGUUGUCCCUUUGACUGAUACAGGUAAAUGAUGAGUGGGCACAUGUGGUCCCUGAACUUUUAUGGCUAUUUUCCAAUUCAGGAAUGCAUAGUUGGAAUACAUAUGCUCAAUAACUUGUAGACUACAAAUAUUGUUUUCCUACACAGUUUAUUUUCCUGGUAGGGAAGGACAAUGGAAACCCUUAGAACUUCCUCUACUUACCAAAAGACUAAACCAAAAACAAUACUACUUUCCUGGAAAAAUUGCACAAAUUAAUGUAACCAUCACUUAUGAUUUCUGCAACAUAUUCAUUCAUCUCACCUGCUUGGCCAAUGCAGAAAAUGAUAUUGGCUUAACAUUAACUUAAUGAAAGCCUGAAUCCAAUUAGAGCCAAUAAGCAUGUACCCUUCUACCUGCAAUGCAGCUGUUGAUUCAAAGUAUUUUUCUCUUGACCUGUUAAUAAAAUACACCAGAAACAGUUUCUUUUCACCUGGCGUGGUUAUUAACACAUCUUUUCUGUUCUACUUUGGGUUGUAUCAAUUCUCUGUCUGUCUUAAUCUAUCUGUAGGGACCUUGUUCACCUCUUCAUUCUAAAGAAUAUUAUAGCCCUACGGCAUGACUAGGGCAGAGAGAAACCCAGGAGGAUAGUAUAAGGAGAGCUACAAUGAUCAUCAAGAGCCCGACAAUGCAGCUUCUUGGAACCAAGAACUUUGAGGAUAUUAAGGAUGUUGGUCCAUAGCUUAAAAACAAUGGAAAGCCUUUAACAAUUUUGAAAGCUUCAGGGAUAGAUAAAAUUGUGUGUGCAAGGGGAGUGGGGGUGACUUUUUUGUGAUUUCAAUAACAAGGAGGAAUUUAUUCUAUCAAAUAGAACAAAAUGAGAUUUGCAUUUUGAAGAUAUCACUCUCUGUGUGAUGUCAAAAAUGAAUAUGAAUGGGAGGCACAAAAAUUGAAGGGACAUCAAUUAAAAGAAAAGUGCAUUAUUUUAAGAUAGAGAUGGUAGCUUGGAAUAUGCUGGCAGAAGAUAUGGGAAGUAUGGAUAAAGAGGUAUUUUGAACAAAAAAUAGAUGGAUCUCAAAGAUGGAUUAGAUAUUGGAGAAUGAAAAGCAUGAGAUAUCAUGGAUGAACCUGAGAUUUGUAAAUUAGGUGACUGGAUGCAUGAUGGUACUAUUCAAUGAGAUUAGAAACAUUGGCAGGAACCAAUAACUUUGGAGGGAGUGUAAGAAUUAAAGAAAGAGGAAAGAUACAUGAAAGGUGGCUUGACAGUUAAGGACGGGUUUAUUUUAGAGAAAACAAACAUGAGAGGGGCUUCUGGCUGAGUUAGGUUAGAGCCUACUUUCUUAGAGACUAAGAGUUUUUAAGGAUUCAGGGUGGAAGAGUUUAUCAGAGGCUUGUAC